rnacentral:rRNA from 1 species
UACGGAGGGGACUAGCGUUGUUCGGAAUUACUGGGCGUAAAGCGCACGUAGGCGGAUUUGUAAGUCAGGGGUGAAAUCCCGGGGCUCAACCUCGGAACUGCCUUUGAUACUGCAAAUCUCGAGUCCGGAAGAGGUGAGUGGAAUUCCUGGUGUAGCGGUGGAAUGCGCAGAUAUCAGGAGGAACACCAACGGCGAAGGCAGCUCGCUGGGACGGUACUGACGCUAAGGCGCGAAAGCGUGGGGAGCGAACAGG